UUGGGUUUAAAGGGUGCGUAGGCGGGACAAUAAGUCAGUGGUGAAAGCCUGCAGCUUAACUGUAGAAUUGCCAUUGAAACUGUUGUUCUUGAGUCCGGUUGAGGUUGAUGGAAUAUAUCAUGUAGCGGUGAAAUGCUUAGAUAUGAUAUAGAACACCAAUUGCGAAGGCAGUCAACUAAACCGGUACUGACGCUGAGGCACGAAAGCGUGGGGAGCGAACAGGAUUAGAUACCCUGGUAGUCCACGCUGUAAACGAUGUUCACUCGCUGUUGGCGAUACACUGUCAGCGGCCAAGCGAAAGCAUUAAGUGAACCACCUGGGGAGUACGAUCGCAAGGUUGAAACUCAAAGGAAUUGACGGGGGCCCGCACAAGCGGUGGAGCAUGUGGAUUAAUUCGAUGAUACGCGAGGAACCUUACCAGGGCUUAAAUGGCAUUUGCCUUUUGCCGAAAGGUGAUUUUUCUUCGGAACGAAUGUCAAGGUGCUGCAUGGCU
rnacentral:rRNA from 1 species